rnacentral:tRNA from 1 species
UCUUCACUAGUAUAAAAUAGUAUCUCCGCCUUCCAAGUGGAUAGUCCGACUUCCGGGUGCAGAA